rnacentral:tRNA from 2 species
GGCUGUAUAGCCUAACUCAAGGCAUUUGAAUUGCAAUCAAAUCAUGUAAUAAUUUUACUACAGCCA